rnacentral:rRNA from 1 species
UACCAGCACCCCGAGUGGUCGGGACGAUUAUUGGGCCUAAAGCAUCCGUAGCCGGUUCUACAAGUCUUCCGUUAAAUCCACCUGCUUAACAGAUGGCUGCGGAGGAUACUAUGGAGCUAGGAGGCGGGAGAGGCAAGCGGUACUUAGUGGGUAGGGGUAAAAUCCGUUGAUCCAUUGAAGACCACCAGUGGCGAAGGCGGCUUGCCAGAACGCACUCGACGGUGAGG